AUUGAACGCUGGCGGCAGGCCUAACACAUGCAAGUCGAGCGGAUGAAGGGAGCUUGCUCCUGGAUUCAGCGGCGGACGGGUGAGUAAUGCCUAGGAAUCUGCCUGGUAGUGGGGGAUAACGUCCGGAAACGGGCGCUAAUACCGCAUACGUCCUGAGGGAGAAAGUGGGGGAUCUUCGGACCUCACGCUAUCAGAUGAGCCUAGGUCGGAUUAGCUAGUUGGUGGGGUAAAGGCCUACCAAGGCGACGAUCCGUAACUGGUCUGAGAGGAUGAUCAGUCACACUGGAAGUGAGACACGGUCCAGACUCCUACGGGAGGCAGCAGUGGGGAAUAUUGGACAAUGGGCGAAAGCAUGAUCCAGCCAUGCCGAGUGUGUGAAGAAGGUCUUCGGAUUGUAAAGCACUUUAAGUUGGGAGGAAGGGCAGUAAGUUGAUACCUUGCUGUUUUGACGUUACCAACAGAAUAAGCACCGGCUAACUUCGUG
rnacentral:rRNA from 1 species